UUCCUGUGCGGGGGCGGGGACCCGACAUCUGCCUGCGCGCGCGGGGAGCGGGUGGCCUGGGCUCGGCGGCGGCGCGGCGCGGAGGGAGCCGGGCCGGGAGACGCUUCCCCCUCCCCCUCCCCCGGCGGCGGGAUGUUCAAGAACACGUUCCAGAGCGGCUUCCUCUCCGUGCUCUACAGCAUCGGCAGCAAACCCCUGCAGAUCUGGGACAAGAAGGUGCGAAAUGGCCAUAUCAAAAGAAUCACCGACAACGAUAUCCAGUCACUGGUGCUGGAGAUUGAAGGAACAAAUGUCAGUACCACGUACAUCACCUGCCCUGCUGACCCAAAGAAGACAUUGGGCAUCAAACUGCCCUUCCUGGUGAUGAUCAUUAAGAACCUAAAGAAAUACUUCACCUUUGAAGUGCAGGUGUUGGAUGAUAAGAAUGUGCGCAGGCGCUUCCGGGCAAGUAACUACCAGAGCACGACCCGGGUGAAGCCCUUCAUCUGCACCAUGCCCAUGCGGCUGGAUGACGGCUGGAACCAGAUUCAGUUCAACCUGUCUGACUUCACACGCCGCGCAUAUGGCACGAACUACAUCGAGACCCUGAGGGUCCAGAUCCAUGCGAACUGUCGCAUCCGGAGGGUGUAUUUCUCUGACAGACUCUACUCUGAGGAUGAGCUUCCAGCUGAGUUCAAGCUGUACCUCCCUGUUCAGAACAAGGCCAAGGUGAGCUAGCCUGAUGAGGGAGAAGUGAGGAAGAAGCAGCUAGGACCAUCACAAAAAUCUCUCUCCUUUGUCUAGCAUUUCCUCCUCCUUUCUGAUGUUUUAGCAAUAAGAGGCUUCCACCUGAUAUUUGUAUCUGAAAAGCAUUUUCCCUUUGCUCACAGUAGGGAACAUGCCCUUGCCACUUAUGCUAAUCACUGGCUCCCGACUAUUAAAAUCACUAGCAAUAUCUCACGUUGUUUAUUGAUUGGCAGUCUUCCCCGGGAAGCAGAGCACUGAAGUAGAUGGAGACUCAGUUCCCUUCCCCACCCCUAGAAGGAGGCCUUCCAAAUUUGGUGAGGAAGGGAGUGUGCGAGAUGGUAGAUGAUAGAACAAGGAGUAAUGGUCUCAAGUUGCAGUGGGGAAGGUCUAGGUUGGAUAUCAGGAAACACUAUUUCACUAGGAGGGUGGUGAAGCACUGGAAUGGGUUGCCUAGGGAGGUGGUGGAAUCUCCUUCCUUAAAGGAUUCUAAGGUCAGGCUUGACAAAGCCCUGGUUGGGAUGAUUUAGUUGGGGUUGGCCCUGCUUUGAGCAGGGGGUUGGACUAGAUGCUUUCCUGAGGUCCCUUCCAACUCUGAUAUUCUAUGAUUUCCCUGCUGUUGUCUCAGUUCAUCCCGUUCUGGGGUUGAACCCCAGAAGCUGCCCCUCUCUUGCUGGUGAGAUGAUGACCUCAUCCAAGCAGAGGUGUUCGUCUCUGUUUCCUGCUUCCCUGGUCACUUACCUUGACUCCCAUAGAGUUCCACUCUGAUCCCUGUCCCUGCCCGACACUGGGAGCAUCAUUGCUGUGGGCGGGGACGAAGGAUGAGUAUUUUGCGUAGAGUAGGGAGAGGCACUGCAGUGUCCUUGGGGUGAAUGGGAGAAGAGCCCUCUGGAUCAUUCUUCAGUGAUCAGUUUAGUCUCAGGAUCAGUAUUGAGGGGCUUUAUAGAUAAAUGUCCAGCCCUCUUUAACCAGACACCCUCAUGAUGAAAGCGCUUCUGGGCUGGGUGGAAUAAGACAGACAGGAAGGAACUUGGAGAAACUGUUCAAGGGAAUGCAUCUUCUCUCCCCGCCCCAAGGAGACUAAUGUUUGUUUUGGGGUAGAUCAAGGGCUGGGUUAACAAUCAUAUGCUGCAAAGGUCAUGGCAAUAGCAUGUGGCCAGCAAUGAAGAUCGUUUAAGGCUGUCAAUGGAGCAUUCCCUUCUGUACAAUUACACGCAGCAUGGGGCAUGUUGGAAUAGCAGUGUCAGGUGCUAAUUGCUUAAUAAUCCUAUCCCCUUUGUGCCCCCUCAGCAAUAAACUGUACUGGAAAGAAACACGAGGAACGCGCCAUGGCUCGGUAUGAACAUGAAGGCAGGUGGAGCAGCAUGUCCUAAUGAAACACAAUUAGCUAAAUGCACUCUGCAUAUGGUAACUAUUGAAUAAUUUGGUAUCCCUUUCCUGGGCAGGACACAACUAACCAUGUAAUAAUACAGUACUGGAAUUGCAUUGUACGUCCAUAGGUAGCACAGAAUCAGAGUAUUUAUCUGGCUGUUCCUAAAAGCGGAGUCUAAACACUGCGAGUGACGCAGUACCUAAUCUUUGCCUUGUUUGGGGGAAUUACGAAGUAAAUGAGUAGUGUGUCUGAAGAGAGGAUCUGGUGUGGAAUUACAGGGUUAAGUGUGCCCUCUCAAAGACCAAUGUGUUUUUCCUUUCCUGGUUUUCCAUCUUUAUUUUAUAUGUGCUCUAAAUAUGGAUGUAAUACUCAUAUUUUGAAAGUUAUUAAACAUUUGAUUCUGUUUGUAA